rnacentral:snRNA from 1 species
UUGGGUUCAGUUUGGAUCAAGUGUAGUAUCUGUUCUUAUCAGUUUAAUAUCUGAUAAAAAAUUAAUUAUUGCCCCCAAUAUCAGAAGGAUAUUGACCAGUU